UUAUGUAAUAAAAAUGACUAUGCGGAACAGUUUGUAUAUGACAAAGAGUGUGUUGAAGCUGUUCUUCCCUGAAUUCUUAUUAGAGAAGUUUACACUUGGGAGCAAAUGUUCAUAACACUUCAUUUUGUCAAAUAGGGGAGAAGAAAGAGGCAAGAUGGCUUCUUGCAGUGCUGCAUCAGUACUCAAAAAGCCAAAUUGCUUUAGGCCUGUCAUUUUGUUGACUUUUACAGAAAGAUAGCUGUGUAAAGUUAGAGCGCUGUUGGGUUAGCUUGCAGACCCUGUUCUCAUAUUCUCAAAUCCAUGCUACAAAACCAGAAGAAACAGCCAUCUUCCAUGUCUUUAUAGUACACAUCCAGAAGCCAAAAGAAAUAAAGAAUAAAGCCAAAACCCAAUGCAUACACACACACAAAUAUAUAUAUGUACAUAUGUGUGUGUGUGUAAUUGUUCUAUAUUUUACUUGGAAAAUAAUUUAGAGAAACAUCAUUAGCGCCCAAGAUUGCAUGGCAAUGAAUUUGCUUCUUUGUACUCUAUGCCAUUUAAAUUGUUUUACAUUCUUAUCUGCAAUUUUGUGACCAUGUUAUAAAUAACCUUCUGAAUGACACAAAUCUUUAUUAAAUGCUUUUUCAGGUUGAAGUUUUCAUGUUGUUUCUAUGAUAGAGAAGAAAAUAUGCCAUCAUGGAGGGAUAGUUCGGCAUUUACUGAUUCCAUGAUUAUGGCGAUGUCAUAGAACACGACUACCACAAAUAACAAGAAUCAUCUGUACAGGAAAAGGGAGUCUACACUGUUCAAAUUUACACGAUCUGCAUUGGAGUCAUUUUCCUGAAGGCAGUUUAAGGGUUGAGGAAUACGGCGAAUGUCUGAAAGACGAGUAUAUAUUUUAAAAACAGGGGCGUAGGUACAUGGUUUAAUAGAAAAAUACUAGCAGAUAUAACUGAUUUUUUCAGAUGUCACACUAUUGCAACUAAAGAGAAAAUUCGCUCUCUUUGGACCUCUCUAUUCAUACGGUGUAAGAUUUCUGUUCACACUGAAAUAGAUGGAGUGGAGUAAAACAACCACAGUAGGGCUGUGGGGAGAAUGCUUCCAAGAUAGUGAAACACCGAUUGCGAUUGGCAAUAAUUGGUAAAAGCUUGGUUGUUUCUGGGAAACAUUUUCUAUCCG
rnacentral:lncRNA from 13 species